UUCUUCUCUAAUAUUAGGGAUCCUGAUCUUCAUUGUUAUUGAUUAUUUGUACCAAUCAAGCCCUUUCGUGAAUCUCAUUCAUACCCAGAAAUCAUUUCUUCAUAGUACGUUACAAAUGUCCACCUACAUAAACCCUAAUAGAUCUCAUCAUCUUCCCAUGUUUCUUACGCCCCUCUCAAGAACAUUAGCUAACUAAUAAUUGUUUUUGAGUUUCCCAACUCUAAUUUUCGGGUUUCUCUUUCAAUCACACGGUCCAUAGAUCAAUUUCACAUUUCCAAGUUAUUUUCUUUGUUUUAUUUCAGAUGAAAAAAAGGUGCCAUCCAUCUCCCAUCCAUCUCAGAAAAUAGGGCGCCCAGAUUACAGCCAGCCCUUCUAAACUCCCGGUAACAGCCGCAUACAAAGCUUUCUCGCAUAUAGGCGAGGUUGAAGAAGGCAAACUUUGGACCACACGCGUUAGGAUCAUUAGGAAGUGGAAUGAAUUGCAGUUCAUGGAGACCAACAAGGUCACGAGCCUGGACAUCUUCAUGCUAGAUGACAAUGGGGAUGAACUUCAUGGGGUGGUUCCCAAGAAGUUAAUUUGGAAGUCUGAUCCGUUACUUCAUGUUGGAAGAAUAUAUUCCCUGAGGAGGUUCACUAUUCUAGGAGAGAAAAAGAUAUUUACCCAGCUCAUAAUGAACACCGCCUAUUCUUCAACUGGGUUACAAAGGUGAUUUAUAUAUUUGGCACUCAAGUUGAAAUUCCUCAUCACAAGUUCACUUUUAUCCCUUUCAAAGAUCUGGAGUCACGUUCUGCCAACACUCUUAUAACACGGAUGUUGUGGAUUUUCACUAAGGUGUUCUUCAACCUAUCCAUUCCUUAGGUGCUUGACAUUAAAGAAAGGUAUACCAUCAUUGUGUAUACUCCUUCACAUACAAAAAUGAAUCUCAGUUAUAAACCAGGUAUGGUUUGUUGAGGAAAAUAACAUCGUCGCUUCUCUUAUGGAUUCAUUAGAACCGAAAGCAUGUUGGCGCAAUGCGGAAAUGUGAUGGGUUUAUGGAAAUUAAUUUAGGAAGAGAGGUUGGUUAAUUGAAA